CAAAUGCUUGGAUAAACUUUAAAUGAUUCUCAGGUUCCUGUGUGAAUAAUGAGCUUAACACUUAUGUAUGUAUUUGUUUGCAGUGGCUUUCAGACAGGAAGAAAAGAGCUUUACAGAAGAAAGAUGUGGAUAUCCGUAGAAGAAUUGAACUUAUUCAAGACUUUGAAAUGCCCACAGUUAGCACAAAGAUUAAGGUAUCAAGAGAUGGACAGUAUAUUAUGGCAGUUGGAACUUACAAGCCAAGGGUCCGUUGUUUUGAUACCUAUCAGUUAUCCCAGAAAUUUGAAAGAUGCUUAGAUUCUGAAGGUUAGUAUAAACUAUGGCUGUUAACACAAGAUAUCUUUCAUACAUAAUUCAGGUUGGACUCCAGUAC
rnacentral:lncRNA from 1 species